GGUUUUGGUGACAAUAGAAAGAACCAGCUUAAAGAUAUGGCUAUUGCUACUGAUGGUGCAGUGUUUGGAGAAGAAGGGUUGACUCUAAAUCUUGAAGAUGUUCAGCCUCAUGACUUAGGAAAAGUUGGAGAAGUCAUUGUGACCAAAGAUGAUGCCAUGCUCUUAAAAGGAAAAGGUGACAAGGCUCAAAUUGAAAAACGUAUCCAAGAAAUCAUUGAACAGUUAGAUAUCACAACUAGUGAAUAUGAAAAGGAAAAACUGAAUGAACGUCUGGCAAAACUCUCAGAUGGAGUAGCUGUGCUGAAGGUUGGUGGCACAAGCGAUGUUGAAGUGAAUGAAAAAAAAGACAGAGUUACAGAUGCCCUCAAUCCUACCCGAGCUGCUGUUGAAGAAGGCAUUGUUCUGGGAGGGGGUUGUGCCCUGCUUCGGUGCAUUCCAGCCUUGGAUUCAAUAACUCCAGCUAAUGAAGAUCAAAAAAUUGGUAUAGAAAUCAUUAAGAGAACACUCAAAAUUCCUGCAAUGACCAUUGCUAAGAAUGCAGGUGUUGAAGGAUCAUUGAUAGUUGAGAAAAUUAUG
rnacentral:lncRNA from 1 species